UACGUAGGGGGCGAGCGUUGUCCGGAUUCAUUGGGCGUAAAGAGCUCGUAGGCGGCUUGGCAAGUCGGGUGUGAAAACUCCAGGCUCAACCUGGAGAGGCCACCCGAUACUGCUAUGGCUUGAGUCCGGUAGGGGACCACGGAAUUCCUGGUGUAGCGGUGAAAUGCGCAGAUAUCAGGAGGAACACCGGUGGCGAAGGCGGUGGUCUGGGCCGGCACUGACGCUGAGGAGCGAAAGCGUGGGGA
rnacentral:rRNA from 1 species